CGCCUUGCCAGCCCGCUCAGAACGACGAAAGGAAUUGACGGGGGCCCGCACAAGGCGGUGGAGUAUGUGGUUUAAUUCGAUGCAACGCGAAGAACCUUACCUGGUCUUGACAUCCCGGAGACCCUUAGGAAACUAGGGGGUGCUUCCAUCUGGAAGAAUCUGGAGACAGGUGCUGCAUGGCUGUCGUCAGCUCGUGUCGUGAGAUGUUGGGUUAAGUCCCGCAACGAGCGCAACCCUUGCCUUUAGUUGCCAGCAGUUCGGCUGGGCACUCUAAAGGGACUGCCGGUGUUAAACCGGAGGAAGGUGGGGAUGACGUCAAGUCCUCAUGGCCUUUAUGACCAGGGCUACACACGUACUACAAUGGCCGAUACAAAGGGCAGCGACACUGCGAGGUGAAGCCAAUCCCGUAAAAUCGGUCUCAGUCCGGAUUGGAGUCUGCAACUCGACUCCAUGAAGUUGGAAUCGCUAGUAAUCGUGGAUCAGCAUGCCACGGUGAAUACGUUCCCGGGCCUU
rnacentral:rRNA from 1 species